rnacentral:rRNA from 1 species
CUUAGAAAAACCGUACCGCAAACCGACACAGGUAGGCAGGGUGAGAAUCCCAAGGCGCUUGAGAGAACUCGGGUGAAGGAACUAGGCAAAAUGGCACCGUAACUUCGGGAGAAGGUGCGCCCUUUGGUGUGGUCACGUGCGUGACUGAGCAUCGAAGGGUCGCAGUAACCUGGCCGCUGCGACUGUUUAUCAAAAACACAGCACUCUGCAAACACGAAAGUGGACGUAUAGGGUGUGACGCCUGCCCGGUGCUGGAAGGUUAAUUGAUGGGGUCAGCCGCAAGGCGAAGCUCUUGAUCGAAGCCCCAGUAAACGGCGGCCGUAACAAUAACGGUCCUAAGGUAGCGAAAUUCCUUGUCGGGUAAGUUCCGACCUGCACGAAUGGCGUAACGACAGCGGCGCUGUCUCCACCCGAGACUCAGUGAAAUUGAAAUCGCUGUGAAGAUGCAGCGUUCCCGCGGCAAGACGGAAAGACCCCGUGAACCUUUACUAUAGCUUUACACUGAACGUUGAGUUCUUCUGUGUAGGAUAGGUGGGAGGCUAUGAAACCAGGACGCUAGUUCUGGUGGAGCCAUCCUUGAAAUACCACCCUGAAGUGCUUGACGUUCUAACCUAGGCCCGUAAUCCGGGUCAGGGGCCGUGUAUGGUGGGUAGUUUGACUGGGGCGGUCUCCUCCCAAAGAGUAACGGAGGAGCACGAAGGUACGCUCAGCGCGGUCGGACAUCGCGCCCUGUGUGCAAAGGCAUAAGCGUGCUUGACUGCGAGAUCGACGGAUCAAGCAGGUACGAAAGUAGGUCUUAGUGAUCCGGUGGUUCUGUAUGGAAGGGCCAUCGCUCGACGGAUAAAAGGUACUCCGGGGAUAACAGGCUGAUACCGCCCAAGAGUUCAUAUCGACGGCGGUGUUUGGCACCUCGAUGUCGGCUCAUCACAUCCUGGGGCUGUAGCCGGUCCCAAGGGUAUGGCUGUUCGCCAUUUAAAGUGGUACGCGAGCUGGGUUCAGAACGUCGUGAGACAGUUCGGUCCCUAUCUGUCGUGGGCGUUGGAGAUUUGAGGGGGGCUGCUCCUAGUACGAGAGGACCGGAGUGGACGUUCCGCUGGUGUUCGGGUUGUCAUGCCCAUGGCAUUGCCCGGUAGCUACGAACGGAAGUGAUAACCGCUGAAAGCAUCUAAGCGGGAAGCACGCCCCAAGAUGAGAUCUCCCGAGAGCUUGACUCUCCUAAAGGCACCAUCAAGACUAGGUGGUUGAUAGGUCAGGUGUGGAAGCGCAGCAAUGCGUUGAGCUAACUGAUACUAAUGAGCCGUGAGGCUUGACC